AUGGUUUCCCUGAGAUCUCUGCUCUGUGUCCUGUAUAUGUACAUACAAGGAUCCUGUGGAGAGAUUGUGAUCACUCAGACUCCAGGAUACAUUUCAGUGUCACCCGGAGAAGAUGUCACCAUGUCUUGUACAGUCAGUCAAAGUAUCUACAACACCGACUGGAAAGUCGACGUCUUAGGCUGGUACCAACAAAAACCAGGACAACCUCCUAGGUGUCUUAUCUAUGAUGCUACUAAAAGAUUAGGUGGGAUCCCAGAGAGAUUCACUGGAUCCGGAUCUGGAACAUAUUUCACUCUUACAAUCAGAGGAGCGACAGAAGAUGAUGUAGGAGAUUAUUUCUGUUACCAGUGGAAAAGUUUCCCUCUCACACAGUGA